GUGGUUCUCACCCUGUCAGUGCCCCUCCCUCCUUCCCUGUCUCUUCUGCUGGCAGCUCAUCCUCUGCUCCCAGGGGUCGAUGACUCCUGAAUUGACACAGCAAGUCUGACCUCGCUCCUGAGCUGUAGAAUAUUUCCCCAUCGUCGCCAUGAGAUAUUUCUGUCUCUCCAGGUACACUUGCAAUGGAUUUUCAGCAAAUUCAUUUUGGUUGAAUGACUGGAUGCUUCAUUUUCUUCCAUAUAUAUUACGUAACGUGAACCCACCGUGUAUAAUCAGUAAGAGUCAUUGAUUGGGCAAAGGCGGUGAAACUAGAGUUGAUUGUGCAUGCCUACGCAGGCAGAGCCUUGGCUGGCAUCUAAUUUUCACUUCUGCAGUGGGAUUUUUCUGAAGCCAAAACAGUAUUAAAGUGAGUUAACCUGUCACUUAAUCCUUUAAGUAACUCAAAUGUUUGUUUAGUUCUCAUUUUCUUAUCAAGACAUCCAAAUGUUGGACAAAGAUAGAUAUAAAUGUCAAAAAUCGUUCCAAAAAUACUUGUAGACAUGUUGAAAAAGUUUUAGUAUUAACUUAGCGUUUUUCAUAAGAUUUCAUUACAUGAUUGUAGAUAGAGAUGAGUAGAUACAAAGAUUUAAAAUUGAGAUUAUAUAUUCAAUUCAACAAUUUUUAGUGAGUAGCUAAUACAUAAAAAUGCUAAACUCAGUUGGAAAAUACUGCCCUUAUGAAGCUCACGUAUGAAUGUGCCAAUCAGGUAGUUUGUUCUUGUGCAUUAUUGUGAGUAUAUUUAGAGAAAUGUAAAAUUAAACUGACUGAAAAACCAAAGAAACCACACAUUUUUUAUGAUGCUAACUAAUCUCUUUCUACCCCAAAUGAAAUGAUGCCUGUAAAACACUUAACAGAGUGAGUGACAGAUAGUAGGGGCUCAGUCAACAUUAGUUGCCUUUUUCCUAAUAGUUGAGAAUGGAAUUAAGCAACUAUUUAUAAUGGAGUGGAGUGAAUGGGAAAUUCUUACUAGAAACUUUCAUUCAGCCAGAAGGACCCAAAUUGUUAUUGUGCUUACAUUGAAUUUAUCAGAUAACUGUUUAAUUUAUGACUUUAUUACCCCUAUAUGAACAUAGAGCUAACUGUAUAAUGUGAAAGAAAUAAAAUGAAAGAGAAACAAAGAAAAUCUUAAAAUGUAAAAUGUUGAAACUACGUGAAAAAUGUGAGGCACCUAAAACAGGAAAGAUAAGGCUGAAAGCAAAAACAAAACAUGUAUUAUAGAUGACCUGCUUCUGAGGAUAAUCUAAAGCUUCGACCGUAAUGCUAGACACAGUGGAUUCACAAUAAAUACAGAGAGACUUAUUGAUAGCGCGUUACCAGGAGCUGACUAGAGUGCCUAUUGAACAUGCAAUUUGUAAUUAUAAGGAAAUAAGACUGUGAAAAUUCUAGAAGAAAGCAGGAUUGCCCAACAUCCUCCAAGAUGGCUUGGCCUUUGCCCGACGAUCCAUGGGGAAUCUUCCAUUCUGUACCUUUCUGAGAGUCUGGCUUAAGGGAGUAGGACCACAAGCAGGGGCCUGCAAAGGCUGGAAACUUGGCCUCAAGAUGUGGUGUUCCAGGAGCUUCCCCACCCUGCCGGGAAAUUGCCCAGCUGGAUGGGAACGGAAUUGCCCUGCUGGUCCUCAGAGAGGAAGGACAGUGAUGCCAGCGAGAAUUGCUUCUUCCCACUGGCAUCUCCACCUGGUCAAAUAGCCAAAUGGUUAUAAAGGAGAACCUUGGUCAACAUCAGUGGGGAGGAUGGAAUUAUGCUCCAUCAGCAGGGUGACCUCAAAAUG